CCUACGGGUGGCAGCAGUGAGGAAUAUUGGUCAAUGGACGCGAGUCUGAACCAGCCAAGUAGCGUGAAGGAUGACUGCCCUACGGGUUGUAAACUUCUUUUAUAUGGGAAUAAAGUGUUGCACGUGUGCGGUUUUGUAUGUACCCUGUGAAUAAGGAUCGGCUAACUCCGUGCCAGCAGCCGCGGUAAUACGGAGGAUCCGAGCGUUAUCCGGAUUUAUUGGGUUUAAAGGGAGCGUAGGUGGAUUGUUAAGUCAGUUGUGAAAGUGUGCGGCUCAACCGUAACAUUGCAGUUGAAACUGGCAGUCUUGAGUACAGUAGAGGUAGGCGGAAUUCGUGGUGUAGCGGUGAAAUGCUUAGAUAUCGCGAAGAACUCCGAUUGCGAAGGCAGCAUGCUGGACUGCAACUGACACUGAGGCUCGAAAGUGUGGGUAUCAAACAGGAUUAGAUACCCGAGUAGUC
rnacentral:rRNA from 1 species